AACUUGGUAAAGAAUUCUUAAUAAGCGUCUUUACCGAGCUGUUGGUAAUUACGCGUCCUACAAAAAUUAUACGGGGUUAUUACCGUAUCAAUACCAACCGGGUAACUGGCCAUCCACCGCAAUGUUUUAAGUUAUCUUUAUAAUUUUGGUAAUAAAUUCCUACGAGUCGGUAAUUAUAUCCUACAAAUUUAGAUAACACUCUUUACCAUAAUUUUUGUAAAGCGCAGUACAAAUUGGUGCUAAUGAGAUCUACAUUUUGGUGUAGUUUAUUACCAUGGAGUUUUAGUUUCCGCUCAGCUCAACUCAAGUCAACAUGGCGAAAUUAAUCCAUUCUGUCCAGAAGUUUUUAUCAGUGAAAAAACUGAUAAAAACUUCUGGGAAUUAUAUAGAAUUGUUGAAACAGUGAAACAAAAAUUUAAGUUGGAAAUCGGAGCAGAUUGCAACUUCGUGUAAAUAUGUAUACAUGUGUGUGUAUGUCAUUCCAUAGUUUGCAUUAUACUUAAAUUUUAUAAUU